rnacentral:lncRNA from 1 species
AUUUACCGGAAAAUGCAGUGUUCCAUCUGAAACAUAAAUUAUAAAUUAUAUUGAAUCUACUAACACAGAAUGUUCUGUUCUCAAUGAGUUUACACAAAACAGGUGAAGAAGCAAAGACCAGCAGUCUAAGAUCCAGGCACAAACUUGGUGGCGUAGACCCAUGCGUUAUUAGCAACUGGGUUGUCAAGGUGGUCCAAGAGGUUCUCAAGGGGGCCUUUUCCGGUCACAAUAGCUUGGACAAAGAAGCCAAACAUGGAGAACAUGGCUAGCCGUCCAUUCUUGAUUUCCUUGACCUUGAGCUCAGCAAAUGUGACCGGGUCAUCAGCGAGGCCAAGAGGAUCGAAGUAUUGUCCACCAGGGUACAGGUUGUUGCCAUCUCCAACUCCAGGAAGGCCAUUAAUGCGGAAGCCCUCAACAAGACCCAUGAGGACAACUUGGAAGCCGAGGACUGCCAGAAUGCUCUGGGCAUGAACAAGGUUGGGGUUGCCCAAGUAGUCCAGGCCGCCCUCGGAGAAGAUUUGAGCUCCAGCUUUGAACCAGAUUGGUUCUUUGAAGUCCACUCUAAGCCACUUCUCAAGGACUUCUGGGGUGAUGCAGCCCAGUGCUCCAAGCAUAGCCCAACGCCCGUGGAUCACCUAAAACCAUUUAUAGGAUCAAAGUAGCAUCAUUACCUUCAUAUUACAUUCUACAGACUGUUCAGAUUAAUCAGAAAGGGUUUGAGGAACAGGGGAGCAAAAUACUGAAAACAGCCUAGAAAGGAACCCUUUUCUAUUUCCAUGCAUAUAUUUUUAGGUUUUUUGCUUUCUUUUACUUGGUUUUUCUAUUUUUGACAUCAUAAUGGAGUAUAGCCACACGGCAAAAGAAGUUUGCUUCUGUGGGUUCUGGUUGUAUCAGAGUUCAUAAAGGCAUCCACCUCACAUUUUUAAGAAACAAAGCGAUGGUUCUUGUGAGCUUGAGUCUCUCAAGUAAAAAUGUUCUUUAGUAGGUUUUGCUUUAAACACCAAUUUUUCAGAUUUAUGGGGGCAAAUCCAUGUCCUUGGGAUUCAAAAGCUCUCUGAAAACAUCAUUUUUAGUAAAUUCUUGAUCAUCUUCACGGUAAACCAACUAGCAGUGAUGAAUUACCUCAAGAGCCCUGUUCCUGGCAAAGGCCUCAGGAUCAGCAGACAAUCCAGCGGUGUCCCAUCCAUAGUCUCCUGGAAAUUCUCCAGUCAGGUACGAGGGAGUCUGAGCUGAGAAGGGUCCCAAAUACUUCACUCUGUCAGGUCCAUACCACAGCUCAUUCCCCUACCCAAUUCACAACCCAAAAAAACAAACACCCAUUUCAGUUAUUCAACCCAUAACACAACACACACACAAAACCAAACUUCGAGAGGGUGUAUGUGUCUUUACCAUGGUGUAUUUCCCAGUUCCCAUAGGGACAACAUCUCUAAGAGGGUUAGAGUUUGCUCCCCUGGUUUGGCCCAGAAAUGGGGUUGGUCUGAGGACAGUGCUGGAGCUUGCUGUUGCUGCCAUCAACAUUGCUGCCUCCACUUCCUUUCUCCCUUUUCCUUUCUGUGUUGGAGCUGUGUUUUUCUGAAGAGAAAGUGUGUACAAGGGAAGCCGAGUGUAUAUGUGAAUGUGGAGGAACCAAGAAUCAGAGAUGGGUGGUUAGGAAUGCAAGAGUGGGAAAUUGUGGUGGGGAUUCUGAGGUUUGAACCAACCAAUCAGAUGGCUUUUAAGGAUUCUAUGUAUCUCAUACCCAUAUCCUUCUAUCCACAUUUUAUCUUUUGUCCCACAGAUUGGAAAAAUGAAAAAUCACCCACGGAUAACUUUCCUCAAUUGACUGAAAAAAAAAUUAACUUCUUGGGUGAAAAUUUAAGCAUUUUUUGGAUUCAUUAGUCUAAGAAAUCCCAACUGUUAUGGUAUGUGGAUUGUGGAGCUAGUGGAUUGGAUUUCAGAGGUUUGGCCCAAUGGAAUGUGCUCUCUCUCAUCAAGCAUAGUCCCUAAUCAGGAUAUUCUCUUGUGCUAGGUAUAUGCCCAAAAAAGAAUAAAUGGACUUCACUGAAUAUCCAAAUUGCACUGUGAGUAAUCAAAUGGAGUAUAAUGCUUCAAUUUUAAACAAGCCCACAGGUGAUCUCUUUUUCUCCUUCAAGUUUAUCUACUAAGUACGUAAUAAUAUUUUUGAGGGCCAUCAUACAAAUCCGACCUUAGCUCAGUUGGUAGAGCGGAGGACUGUAGUGGGAUUCCCCAGAUAUCCUUAGGUCGCUGGUUCGAAUCCGGCAGGUCGGAAUCACUUUUUUUCCCUACGACCAAAAUGGACUGUUUCCACUUCUUUUCAAUAAAGAAUUAAGAUUACAGUUUAUGAACUAAAAAUUUAUCUGCAUGAGAUUUGAGAGUGAUGGAAAGAAUGCAGCUCGUAAAAAUAUUAAUCAUUAUAAACAACAAACGUAAGAAGGGUUUUUGGGGGGCAGAUUGAUCAGCUCAAAGUCUAAAACCCUUCUCACCAUUCCAAUUCUCAGUGCUAACUCAGCACUGAAUAUUAAAAGAGAUGAAUUACAUGCCUUUGUAUUUGUUUUACAGACAGUCACUGAAGUUGGUGGGUGAAGUCAGUUGUUCCUCUACUCUUAAGCAUUCUCUCCAAUAUGGAUCUUCACCUCCAUUUGCAAUAAUAUGCGCAAAGAAGAUGGUUUAAAGUUGAAUGAGGAGAGGGUGAGGACGACAUUUGGGAUAUUGAUAUUGUAAACUAAUAAAGUUUUAAAUAACUUGCUUCACAUCUCCGACCUUAGCUCAGUUGGUAGAGCGGAGGACUGUAGUGGGAUUGUCCCGAUUAGAUAUCCUUAGGUCGCUGGUUCGAAUCCGGCAGGUCGGAUGCUUUUUUUCAUUGGUCAUUUGUAGUAAAUCCGACACUCACUUGUGACCCUAACCUCAUUUCAAUAUUUUUGAAUUCUUUCAACGGUCGAAAAACUGAUGCUACGCUGUCACAUGGUAACACCAUAAAUCCUCUCAUCAACAUCGUACACGUGGGACGUGGCAAACAAGAAUGUAGACCCCAUUAUGUGAACGCAUAUCCCAAUAAAAAUAUUGAUUCAGCCAUUGGGGCUCCAUCAAAACUUGGUAUACCGUCCGCCCAGAUGCAAAUGGAAGAUUUAGAGCCUCUAGAACCCUCACAGAAUACAGAGAAUCUUCGGUGAGAAAAGGUUCAGCAGAGAAAAGAGUAAAUGGGUCUCAAGAAAACUGACGAUCACUGGGCUUUUCUGGUAUUCAUCUCUUUAUUACACACUUUAUUAGGAUCUAUGAGCGUAGAUUCUGGGUUUCUGUUUUUGCUUUCUUGCUGGGUUUUAUUUUUGAAUUUAGAAAUGGGGUUUUUAGGGUUUCUUGAAUUGGAAAUGAGUGGGUUCUCUGAUUUUGGUGGCCAAGUCGUUGUGGAUUAUAACAUUUCAGCAUCUGGGUUUUGUUUUGUUUUUUUGUUUGUUUUUGCUUUAUUGCAUUAGAAAUUAUGGGUGCCUUGAAUUUGAUUCUUCGGAUCUAUUCUGAGUGAGGGUGGAUAGGAUAGGAAAUGAUGGGUUUCUUGGUUUGAGUCAUCAAUUAUUCCAUGUGGCUGUUUCUGUAGUUCGUAUGAUUGUGUCAUUUCAACAUUUGGGUUCUCUUAUUGUUGUUGUUUAUUAGAUAGAAAUUAUGAAACAUCUUGAAUAUUGAUCAAGCAUUUGUUUCACUUUGGUGUAUAUGGGGCUGUAGCGUUCUUGCCAUGUGGUGAAUUAAAAAAUUAUGGUUUUCUUGAUUUUGGUUUGUUGGGUCUAUUUUUAAUCAUUGAAGCAGAAAAUAAUGUGGUAUCUUUUGAUUUAUGGUUCUGUUCUUAGACUGGGUCUUGCAUGGUUGAUUAAUUUCACCAUUUUAAUAUCUGGGUUGUCUUAUUCUUGGCACUUCCUCUGAUUCCUGGUUUUGUAGUUUUUGAAUGUUAUAUUCCAUACUCGAUUGUAAUAAUGUGAUUAUAGUCUAUUUUCCCCUUUGUUCUGUUCUGAUUUCCCAUAUCAUCUUACUGUUUCUACCCUUUCACAAUUGCCUUUUCAUCUGCUGAUUGAUAUACAGGAAGAAUUUGAAGCUCCUAUGUGGGCAGAUCUUACCCUAGAAGCUAAGACCAAUAACCAAGAUGUGUAAGUUUCUCCAAAACUGGUUCCCAGAUGCAAGAAAGUGAGUAUUUUCUUUUCAAUGAAAAAAAUGUGUUCCUUGACUCCUAUCAUAUUGUUCUUUUGCUAAAUUGCAGAGAUGACAAGUGGUUCCACAUAAGCCAUCCGUAAGCCUCUUUUUGUUCUCCACUUAUUGUUGCAGUUGUGAUAUGUCAGUUUUGGAAUUUCUGUUAUGCAAUCUCUUUACUUACCUGUCACUAAAUUGAUUUAAUUUUCAGGUUCCACCAGUUUUCCUCUCACCAGUUAAAAUCUGCAUUUUCUGGUUCCAGUGAGGGGAGUGAAAACUUGGACUUUGACUUACAUGGACCAUCUUCUCCUAAACUUCCUUCCUCAGUCUCUAGAUCAAGAGGCAAACACUAUAGGAGCAGAAACUGGGGAAAGGAAAAUGGUGGGUUUUCAUUAAAUAAGCAGCAUCCAGUCAAGAGUUUAAGUGGUAAAACUUCAUGGGUUGAUUCAGGCUCUAGCCAGGAAAUAAAACCAAAACCAAGCUGUGGAAACUUAAAGGGAACUUGCAGUUCAAAAACUAGUUUGGGUUGUGACAGCAGCUCAACUAGAACUUCCAUACCAAACUAUACCAUACCUAUAUCCAGUUUCGGAGAUUCAAAAGGUCGUUUGAGUUCUGUAGCAAUUAAGGCAAGUGAAAGCAAUUCAACAACAAGCACCGUUACAUUUGAAGGUACUCAUCAACAACCACAAAAGUCCUUGGAGGUAUCCAGUGGACCAUUUGGUCACACAAGUGGACUCUUGUCAGUUAUGAGGAUUACUCUUAGAAAGAGUUGUGCUACGAGACAAGCAUCAAGAGUGGAGAUCAAUAAAUGUCAGCAAUCAGAAGGAUGUAAAUCUUCUGCUGGCAAGUCCAGUGUGGGAUCGUCUUCAAAUCCUGGUUAUGAUGUUAAGGAUAGGACAGCUACAGAAAUACGGAACAGAGAUAGGACCCCAGAUAGUAGAAACGUAAUGCGAACUUCUCAAACGGCUGUGAACAGAGGAAGAGCCUCAACUACAUCUAAGGCAUCAAAUAUUCUAGUUGAUUAUAGGACUAAUAAUUCAAGAAAGGAAGGAAAAAGAAUUGUUGCGAAGUCAACCACCAAGGAUGCUGUGAAAUCAAAGGUGAGAAGACUGUAAAAAUCCAAUUGAGAACCAAAUUCUAACAAACUCCUGAACUGUACCUGACUUUUUGAUUAAACUAACGUAAAUCAGAUUAGUCACAAAGAUCAUUUGAUAAAUCCCCCAAUAACUUUACAACCAUUAUGCUUGGCUUUCUUGUAACUUAUCUAUGGUGUCUUUUGUCUUACCAAUUCUGUGAUUGUCCUGGCAAUUAGGCUUUGAACCAUGAUUAAUAAUGAGUUUCUACAUAUAUUUUGCAGGUUGUAUGUCAGACCAUAAACAGAAAAGGUUUGGUACCACUUAGAGUUAAUGAACAAGAUCCAUUGACGGCUGCUACAAAAGCUAAGAGCAAAGUGGGAGUUGGUGCAUCCAAUAGAUUGGCAGGUGGUGGGAAGGAAAAUGCAAGUGGGAAGCUAGCUGUGAGCCAGAAAUCUAGUGGCAGAGACAUAGCUGCCAGAGACAUAGUUAGGGGUCAGACAGGGAAGAAGCAGAGUAUAUCACGAAAGGGUGAUAAAACAGGAUUCACUGGUCCAAAGGUACAGAUGACAGGAAACCCUCUUUGGUAUAUUACAGUUCAAUGGAAAUUGAAAGACCAGAAUACUAGUCCAACAAAUCAUAAUUUUAAAAUGAAUUUGUUUUGAGCUAAUAGUGGAAACUACUUGGAUUCUAGUUACCAUAAACAUUUCCUGGGUAUGUAAUUGUCUGCGUUGUCCAUCUGGGAAAAGUAUUCUAAUCUCAUUGAUUCUUUAGUUUGAAUAACGCUUCCUGCAAUCCUGCGCAAUCUAUACUCUUCUUGUUGCCUUUAUUUCACCUGUUUGGGCCAAUGAACCAUUCUUAGGUUUAGUUGAUGCACUAAAACUAUUUUUACUGAUGGUGGAGGCACUUAAAUUUAUCCCAUGUAUAAUACCCAUGGUUUCCAGUUUAGACAUAAUGCUUAUAUCUUUCAUAUUUGAGUUAGACGAGGAACAGAGAAUUGUUUUCACAUAGGUCUUGUUCUGAAACUGUGGUUUUGUUUGAACCAUAGAUUUGUUUGUGCUCUGACCUUCACUUAACCAAAUCUCCCAGAUCAUUUUCGCUCACAAUACUGGUCUGAAAAUGAUGAACCAUUAUGCUUUUGGCUUUGUACAAUAGUUCCAAUAUAACUAUAGUAAAAUACGACAACCCUAGACCCUGUAUUUACCUGCAUACUGAUAAAUUGUCUAAAUAGUUUUUAAUAUUUAUGGUAUUUUCACUUGGACCUGAUUUUCUUGUUUACGUCUUUAUAAGCAGGGAAAAAUCAGUGGACGAAGUGAAGGAAAAACCUCAAUGAAUGUGCAUCAGAAGGUGUUCCUCCCAUAAGGGUGCAAUGCAGCAGCAUGUGUAUAUACAAACAUAAUUCUUUUUUUCUCCUUCCACCAAAGGGUGCAAUGCAGCAGCAUGUGUUCCUCCCCGUUUUUGUUCAAUCUGAUGGUAAACUUUGAUUGCUGUAGCUUGCAAUCUUUCUCUGACCCGGGGAACCAUUGCCCCCCACUGUCUUUGUGAAAUGUUCAACCCCUGUACUGGCUUUACUUGACACAUCCUUUGUAUAUAAACCUUCAAGCUAGUCAUGAGAGUGGAAUAGUUCAAGACUUCAAGCUGAGCCUGGUUUAAUUGGGAAUUGAGCUUGAGAUUAGCUCUCACCCUAGCCAAUUUUGAAGUCUGGAUUUUGUAGGUUUUUCAUUAUUCCAAUGUUAUACCCUAUUCGAAUGCUUAUAUUUCUUCAUUCCUCUAUCAGAAUACUUGAAUUUCACAUGCAUGAAGAGUUGUGCCAAAGGUUGGUUGAGGUUGGUUUGUUAGAAAUCAAGAUUAGAACUCAUUUCAUAUUGAAAACGAGACUUAUAACCAAAUAAACAUUGUUCUCAUUUCAACAGGAAAGGACUAUUUAGGGCUUGAACUCUUUUUCCUGUACGCCAAGGAUUCAAAACAUUGAGAUAAAUGUCUUGGGUGGAGAAACCUGCCCAACCCUGACAUGUGGAGGAUUUGGAGCUCUCCAAGGCACCUCCCCAUCAUGAGCAUGCCGGAACAUGAUAGUUGAACUCAAAGAAGAGUUCAAUGCACCUUUCGUCCAUCAAGAGUUCUAGUCUAAAAAGCAUUUAUUUAAACAAAAACAAAUUAAAAAAAUAAAAAUUCAGGUGUCUAAUAAAAUUUGAAAAAUAUUUUUAAAAAGUCGAAAAAUCGCUCACUUAUCCUCCUUCAGGCAAUUUUUUAGAAUUCUACUAAAAGAACUCGUGCUCGUCCCUUCUUAAAUAGACGAGUUUUCCAGGUUAUAAAUCACUUCUCCAGGUUGGCACAAUGUUUUUUGGGAGUACUCGUAGACUCAGCCCCAUGAGAAAGUUGGGACAAGUAAUUAAAAUUUCUGAAAGAGAUUGUUUGAGCCACAUUUCAAAAGUACAAAAAACUGCAAGACCUUUCUGCUAAAAUUCCAUUUGUCACCUGAUAGACGAUUAAUGAAAUGGCUAAUUAUGAUGUUGCCCUACCACUUCAAACCUCUGAGAGAUAAAACAGUCAAAUCAUUUAACUUCCAGUGGCCAUUUGAAUGGUGACCACAGUGGAGGACUCUGAAGCAACUGCAACCCACCUCUGUUCUGCAGAAAAUACUUCAGAGUUGGGUAACAUUGGAAAUCGGCAUCACCUACAUCUUUAUACGAUUACUUGUCCACUGUGCAACAUCCACCAACAACAAUGUGCAGAAGAUGAGCAUAAAGCUUCAGAUGCGUAAUGUACAUGUCUACAUCAAUUUGCCUCUGGGAAUUGGGAAAAAAGUGCAGCCUUAACCAAAGACAUUAAGUUUAUGGUUUUUUUGUUUCUUGUCCCAGAAUAUAUAGCUUAUCAUACUAUUUUCAUUGUGAGUUGAUACAUUAGAAUGGCUCAUCCCAAGGUUUGAUACAAAAACAUGUUGCCCCAACCAGCAUUUAUGAACUUUGGGGGCAUAGUUUACCUUCUUAGAGCACCAUAAUUCCUUGUUACCUACAAACAUGGAGAUAAGUAGUUAGGAUAGUUAUAUGCAGAUCAUAUGAAGUUGAAACACAUGUAAGGCUCGUCUUCAUUUCAUUUUAAUAACUAUUCUCAUGGGUUUUAAAGUAAACCUUUUACAUAUGCUACCAUAUGACCCAGGUUCAGUGGAAAUAUCACCUAAACACACAUACUCAGAGAGAGAGAAACAUAGACACACACAUGUAUGCACAACUCAAGUAAAGAUUGACGUGGUGGCUGUGGAUGUAAAAUAAAGAUCUGAGAAAUAAAAUAAAAUAAAAACCCUACAGCCAACUUUAAUAUGGUUAACGCAUAUUUAUGUAACCAUCUUAAAAACCUUUUCAUUUAUGUUAGAGUUUAUCUUAUUUUGUUACCUUAUGUUAAAGAGUAAUUUUACUUAUCGGUUACUAGGGGUUAUGUUUGCAAGGUUGGUUAAUAAUAUAAUAAGUGAAAAGAUAUAGGAAAGUCAAGUUCACAGAUUUUAUUUUUAACUAGGUAUUAGAGCAUUGAUGUGCUUAUUGUUGAUUAGGUAGAUCAUUCCCAAAAAAGAAUAAAAUGAACUCCAAUAAUAUUCAAAAGCUAAAUUUAGAAAAUGAAGAACAAUGAGCAUAAAAUGGCAUAGGUCUUCAUUCUUGGAACAAGCACCUAAAUAGGACAUUUCAGGAUAUAUGUUGAGGUCAACAUUGGCAAGGAAAGAGACUACUCAAAAGAACAAAAAUAAGACUGAGAUGAAUAUAACUUACCCGAGGCUGAGGCUUAUUUAAUCUCUUUGACAUGUCAUCCUCAUCAUCAUCAUCAUCAUCUUUGUUCAUAAGCAUUCUCUGAAUUGAAGUGGAAUCUGAUUUCCUUCCUCGCUUAGAGGAUGUAGUAGCACCUCUACCCCUUCCCCUUGGAGCAGCUCUUUUGCGUCCUUUGCCUUGGAGAUUCUCAUCAUUUUCCUUGAGAAGAAAUUUCUAAAUUAAUUCAGUCUAUGUUACAAGAAUGUCCACAUCUUUGCUCUUUCAAGAAGGAAAACACACUCAACAUAGAGGCAUGGCUACAUGGUUAACUUGAAUCAAAAUGAAUUAUGCAAAGGAUCUUGAUGCACUAAAUUUGAACCAGGUAAAGCUUUUCCUACCACAUUGUCUCAGAUUCUCAAUGAUAACAUAUAUGAAAUAAUUAAAGUCAUAAAUUAAAUUUUUUACUUUGAUUUCUAUGGUUGCGAAUUAUCAAAACUACUCAAUUUUUCAUGAUAAGCUGAGGUGCAAAAGGGAGUGCAUGUCUCAUCAUGGAAUUGGCUCAAUAGUAGUUGCCCAAGGUUGAAUCCAUACAUACUGAGAUGUUGAAGUGAAAAAACAACAAUGAGAGAGGUGCUUCUUAAGCCAAUAAUUGUUCAUUUGUUCACUUUUAAUGUGGUUGAAUGUAUUUAACUUGCAGGUCAUUAUAAAAACAGCCACUCAUAAGUUGAUGUAUUAAGUCAACAUAAAUCAUACCGAGCUGUCAUCAACCUCAUUAAUUCCAUAUUUCCCUGCUUCAUCGCUUGAACUGGACUCCACAUUGUCCUCAUCAUCAGCAAGGUUUCGAACAGCAGCUGUCGCAGCAACUGAUGCAGAUCUGCAGCAACAAACUUAUCUAAGAAACUUUGCUAGCAAGCAUGAAUAUCUUAACUUUUUGUUUAAUGCAAUAAAUAGCAAAAGGUACAGUAGGCUUCUGAUUUCAUACAUCUACACUUCCUCAAGGUCUGUUCUUUCAGAAACCAAAUAUUCUGUUAUGAGAAGAUGGUGUACAUUUGUGAACAAAAUGGUGUACAACUACACUUCCUCAAAGUCUGUUCUUUCAGAAGUCAUGGAUGUAAGCACUACUGAACUCCAUAAAUUUUCUUGUGUUUGCACUCUUGUUUUAUUUGUUUACUUUCCUGGUUAGGCCCAGGAAUUUUAUGUCCAACCUGAUGCACAUGUCAUGUAUUGAAUGCCAACAAGAAUUUUCAACCAUUAAUAGGAAAUUUACAAUGGUUACACAUUUCAUAAUAUUUUAUCCUGACAAUGACAAUAAUAAUUAGAACAACUUCUAAAGUGAACAUCAAGUUAUGGAAAUCUUGCAAGGAUAUCAAUACUUAUACAGGCUACAAAACAAGCAGAAUAAGCAAGAAAUUUAAUAUUCACUCAACAAAACAAAUCUCAACAAAAGAGAAUCAAUUCAUAUCAAUGAGAAAGCAGCAAGAGUGGCCAGAAAAUCCAUCAAAUGUGUGUACAAGUUUGGAAAGAGAAAUGAAACAGGAGGCGACAAAUCUCGUCCCCCCCUCUCCAGCUUAAAUUACUAUUUUAGUAUGUUGCCCUUUUUUGUUUCACAUCUUCUACUUGUAGUGAAUAUUAUUGUUGAUCUUUGAUUUUUUCAAAGAAAAAAGAUAGGAAAUUGUAGAUUGAACCAUCUUCAAAGCUCCCUUUACUUUCAAAUGGAUCCUAAACGAGCCUGGACUGUGAAUUAUGUCAUUUUAAUUUCAUAACAUUAAGCAGCUAUUAGGUAGAAAAGUCAGCCUACAGAGAUUAGCCAUUGCAAAAAUUAGCCUUACAUGUGAAUUAGACAAAAAUGAGCUGCUUUGGACUGUUAAAAGACCAAAAACCUGGCGUAUAACUAGAUUUCCUUAGAGAAUUAUUAAUAGACAAAUUCCAAAAAUUAAAAAAGGGCUCCAUGAACAUGACACUUUAUUGGAUCUGAGACAAUAUUCAGUAAGCUGAAAAUCAGCACAGUUAAUUAUAAUUGCAUACAGUAUAAUAGUGAUGGUCCAACUAGAUGUACUGCCAGUAUAUGUUUCUUAAUCUUUUACCUGAAAUUCAACAAAGAGGCUCAAACACCAUCCCUCUACCCCCUUCCAUGUUUGCAUGUGCACAUGCCGAAGAACAAAAGGAGGAAAAAUGAAAUGUGCCACACAAAAUAUCUUGUAUCUUUUAUAGUUGCCAAGUAAUGUGAGAUUUCAAGACUCAGGAUUUUCAAUGAGAAAAAAAAAUUCUGGAAAGAAACAAACAAUAUUAUUCUCAAUAGUAUUCACUUUAUUGUGAGAAAUCAAAAUGCUUGUAAUUUCCUGAAAGAACAGUAUCAGAAAUAUUAAUGAAUAAAUAAGCAACAAAGUAACCUUUCAGAAUGGCGGAAUCCCAGACUUGAAUCAAGUGUCAUCUGCUUCAAGGUACUGGAGCUCCUCCCCCUGCCCCUGCCCCUGCCCCUUCCUCUUGUAGAAGAUUUACCUUUACCUUGUUCAGAAGCAUCAUGGGAGGACUUAAAGGUUGCUGAUGACCCUUUUCUGCCCCUAGUGGCAGAUUUUGACCCAGAUAACUGGGUGGGGUCUUCAUCAUCACUAAAGGAAACUGCACUUCCAGUUUCAGCAGUACCUUUACUUCUGAUAUUCUACAAAAAAUUGAAAAAAGAAGAUUAGAAAGCAGAGAGUGGACAAAUAUUGAACAAGAAUGACAGGUAAGAAGGGAAAAAAAAUCCAGCCAUGGGGAUCACUUGUUCUGCUAAGAAAACUAGAAGAAUAAGCAUUACCUCCAAUGACCGAGCACUUGACAUGAACUGUGGGGUUUCCUUUGAGUGCACUGACCUUUCCUUGACCCGUUCCUGCAAUAGUUAUAUUUAGUUACCAUCAAAUUAUAUAUUUCCCAUAUAGGCAAGGUAUGCAGGCAGCAGGUUCACACCAAGUGUCAGUGAGAUGCCAAAUGCUACUUCUGCAAAGCAAUGUCCUAAAGGGGAAGGAAGAGUACAUGUAGAGAGAUUCCUUCUUUUACUCGGGAAGAAUUAAUCCUAACUACUCAAAAGGCAAAGAGUACAAUUAACUUUUAGAUUUAAAAUCACUGCUUAUAUACUUACUAAUGCCCAUAAUUUACGAUAACAUUCUAUAAUCUAGUAAGAUGGGGAAGGGUUAUGGCUUUACCCUGGUGUGAGAUAUCACAUUACUCGAGGAAUUCUAUACAAUGUCAGAAUAACGGAAACACCUUAUUUAUAGAUAAUACAACCUUAACAUCUUAGGUGAGAUUCUUUCAUUACUUUCUAAUAUAUACCAACAGUUAUUGAAGUGAUAUUACAAAUUAAGAAUUGGGCAAUCAUCCAAGGCCCCAAGGACAUUCAAGCCAAGGUGGCCAUUUUGAAAUGCCUGCUCUGCUAGACCCUAAUUAAAGUAGAAGAGCCCUCAGAAAGGGAAAAAAAUCACCUAGGAGACAAUUGGACAACACUAGGAAACCCUUAAAAUAAUUAAAAAAAAGGAAAGAAAUUCAAUAAGGAUAAGCUUCUUGCCUCCAAGCACUCUCCAACUUUAAGAAUUAAAUCUUCCUCUUCAAACUUUAAAGGAUCUGAAUCACGAGCAAUUUUACUCUGUCCAAAUAGAAAAACUGAUCAUGAACACACAAACAUAAUAUCUACAAACAUCAGAUAAAUCCACAAACAACUCAAAAUCAUCUGCAAUAUACUUACAAUUGUUAUAUUCAAACAAAUUCAAUACCAUAUAGAUGUGGUAUAACUAAAAACCAACCUAAACUAUCUGCAAUAUUGUCACAGAAAUUUGAAGACAUAAUAUGGAGUACUUACACGUGUCUCUUCCAGAUUAUAUUGAACACAAGAAUAGAAAGCCAUUUUGUCAUCUUUGUUGACAAAAUUGUGCAAUGCAACAUCCAAAUCAUUGACUGGAAGGAUCUCCAUUUUCUGCAUCAAUAAGUAUCAUUCUCAGGGACCCAGAAGUGAAAGAAAGAAAAGAUUAAAUAACUAUAUUGCUUCCGUUGUCACACCUGAAUGCCACUUAUCCAAGUCCUAUUUGAUCCAGUAAUUGGAAAAGAAUAGAAACUUCACUCCAGGACAGGACAAGUAGAACCAAGCUCAUAGAACUGAAGCCCAUGAUUUCAAUUAUUAGGUAAUAUUAAUGGUCUAUCAGGGUUCCACCGGAAUGAAAAUUACCAACUGAAGUGACAUAUAAAAGUUAAGAAAAGCAAAGAAAAGAUGAAACAUGAUGAUUUGAGUACCAGAUUAUUCUCAGCAACUAAGGCUUCUAUAUUUUGUUGAUUCAAUUCUUCUGGGCGAAGCCGCUCAGAGUCAUCAAUUUUGGCUACAGUCCAGGAAAGAAACCACAUUCAUUCCAUUUCCAUUUAAGGAGUGAAACCAAACAUCAUCAAAAAGGAAAAAUAAAUGGUAAAAAAUAAUUAGACUCUGUCAGAAAUACACUUGUAUCAAAGAACAAGAUAAUGUCAAAUGACAUCUAAUUUUUAGAGCAAAAACAGAACCUUUUCAAAAGUGAAAAACUUACCAUGCUCCAAUAUAGCCAAAAAGACUACAAUCAUAGUUUCCUAAACAAAGUAUAAACACUGUAUUGAAAAGAUAACCAAAACUUUGUGAUAUUCAAACUACAGUAGAUUUAGAGUACCAUUUGUUAUUAGUAGCAUGGAUCAUCAUCAUCAUCCAAACCCAUUCUAUUAUUAGAAUUUGACUAAUCCAUUUCAGUUGGGUGUAAAACCUAUUUUCAUUGAAAAGGAAGCUUGCCAAAACUGUAGCCAGUAGACCAAAAUGUUCUACAUGAACUCUAGCCCAAGUUAGUGCUUAUAUUGGAAACAAAAGUUUUAAGCUUUAAUUUCAGGGUCAGGCUUCAGUUGCUCCAACAAUGAACCUUGGCUUGAGUCUGGAUCGCCUUCUAAGUGAGCUUGAAUGAGUCCAUUACCAACCCAAACCCUAGCAACACAAAAAUCUUAGUUCAUUGCAGCCCCAGGAAAAUCAGUCUAUGUCCCAGCUCCCAAGGGAGGUACAACCAGCUAGUUUAGUUUGAUUUUAAAAACAAUUCAAUACACAAAGUUUAACUUCUAAAUAUAUUCGGGCUUGAACUUCAGCAAGUAGGCUAAUAUCCAUGCCAAAACUAUAAUUCACACCAUUGCAACAAGCAUUAGUUGAGAUCAUCAGUAUGUGGUUUUAGAUGGUACCUUAGAACUUUCUCACCAGGUUAUAUCAACUACCACCCCAAACAUGUUUUUGGAAAACAACAAUUAACAUUCAAAAUAACAUUGCAUAUUUAAGAAAGAGAGCAUUUUCAAAGAUUGGAAAUUUUAGUAUGCAAGUAAACACAAUAUACAUUGAUUUCUACAGGGUAACUAGGUAUAAGCAAAGUUUAGUCUAACCAAUGUAAAAUCAAAUACUCAAAACAAGAAAGUUACUAGCAGCCCAAUAACUGAUUUUAAUUACCUUCACUACGACCUUUUCUUGAAGCCUUUGUGAAAAUAAGAAUAUCUUGGGGAUUUGCAACCUACAAAAUCAAACAUAUCAAUUGUUUGUGAAUUAUGACAUUCUAGAGAAUCAACAUUAGCUUCCUUAUCCAUGAGGGAUAUACCUUGCCCACAUACUUUUGCCCAAACCUUUGAGGAUUUAUUGUCAUAAAUCCAGAGUAAUCUACCUGUUAAAUAAAAAAGAAAGGCUAAGGAUAAAAUUGUAUUUAAUGGUUACACACUCCACAAUGCCAUUGUUCUUAAAAGCUUGCAUCCCUUUACACAUCACAUCCUCCCACCCAAGGUAAAAGGCAUGUAAAUAAUGAAAAAUGUCACAACCAAAACCAGAAAGGAUCAACAUAAAAUGGAAUUGGGAAUCGAGUGAGACAAUGGGUUCUAGAUACAAGAAUGAAACAGCAUACCAGGACACAGUUAACGGGAGAUUCAAACAGGAGAGAAGCAUUGGAAAGCACAGGAGGAAAAAUCAUCCAUGACAACAAAGGAAUGUCAGAAGAAAAAGAUUAGCCUCAGAAUAUUUCUUUCUCAUAGAAAUUGUCAGGACCUUGUUUGACACUUGAGAUCUGUAACAUAACCUAGUAGAAAAGGAGCAAAACGCAUAACAAGCAAAAUGGGGUAGCAAGGGAGUGCACAAUAUUAUGUCUGUUUUUGAAAUGUCUAUUUGCACAAAGAGAGUGCCAUACAAGCCAAAGAGGAACCAACCCAAUUGAUGCAACAUCUGCAGACACAAACUACCUCCUUGGACCUAGACCAAGAGUGAUAAGCAGUGCAAUUGAUUCCUAUGCUUAACACUUAUUGCUUUCACGAGGAAUUACAAAAUAAUUUCAGAAAUAGGAUUAAAACAAACAGUUCUUGGCUUCAAUUUGAUACAUUUGACGAACACAUGAUUAUGCGUUCUCAGCUUGGAUCUUUGUGUUAUGUGCCUAAGGUGUGGCCAGUCAAUUAAUCAUCUUUUUUUAUAUUGGCCAAUGACUUUGUGCCUUUGGCAUAGAUUGGGUUCCUCCAAGGAAUGUAACCAGUAUGAUGAUUCAGGUUUGGGGAUACUCCAAGAGGAAGGGUAUUUUGGCAUGUGGCUUGCCUUACCUUGUUAUGGAUGGCUUGUAGGAAGAGGAAUGUGAUGAUUUUUGAGGAUAAAUGGAAGACCUUAGAAGUUGGUAUAUUUCCCCUCCUCCUAGGCUUCUACCUCUACAACUUUUGAGGGUACUCCUUUGAACAUUCUACACCUUGAUUGGAACAUGGUUUGCAGCAUGGUUUCUAAAGAUGUAAAACACAUUUAAGGUACCAAAUCAUCUUGGAGCCUAGGCGCAAGGAGCAACCCAAGGUGUGCACCUAAAUGAAGUGAGGUACCCUAAGUCACAAAUAUAAAUUCACACGAUACAAUAAAUAGAUAAAUAAAUAAUACAAAUGUAAAUACCAAAGAGGUGUUGUGACUCAUGAGUGUGCUAAGAGACAAAUUGAGAAAUUAAUAUCUUUAUUAAGAACUACCAGCACCAUGUGUGUAUCCUUCUUCUCUUCUUCUUCUUCCCUUUUUCUCCUUUUCUUUUCCAGCUCUCCUCUUAGCUUCUAUGAAGACCUAAUUUGGGCCCUUUGUUUAAAGGCUCCAUAUGAAAUGGUGUCAUUUUAGGCUUGUUAAAACACACACAAGGAUCAAAACAUCUUUUUGUGUGUGUGCGUGCACACACACAUUUAUAUAUACAUAUCCCAAAAAUGUUGUCAACUCAAUUGCACCUUCAGACAGCCUUGCGCUUGGCUCAAGGUGCAUGUCUUUUGGGCCUAGGUCAUACCUUUGUUAUUGAACAGCACCUAACCUCAAGCAAGGAGCACACUGGUCUGCGAUGUGCUGCCACAUGUCUAGAUGCACUUUUCAUGGCUAUGGUUUGCAGGUUAUGGGUUGCUUUCAAUAUAGACUUCACCUCCAAUGGGUUUGAUUAAGUUAAACUUUUUUUUUUCACAGUUAAGUUUGAUUAAGUUAAACUUUGAUGGGUGUGCUCUAGGUAACUUGAGGCUUGAGCUAGUUUGGAAUAUGAGGUUUGAUUAGAGAUCACCAUGGUACAAUGUUGAGAGCCUUUUCUAAACCUGCAGGACAGAGAUUGGCAAUGGAGACUGAGAUUAACUCUUAUCGAAGGGCUUAUUGUAGGCCAAGGCUUUUGGAUCUUCUCAAUUUGUUGAUAAAGCAGUAUUUUGUUUCACCCUUGAUCUGUAGCAAUCUUGCUGCUCUUGUUGGGUAUUUUCUCCUUUUUAUUAUCAUCCUUUGUAUUUUUUGAAGGAUUUCUCAUCUUCCCUUGCACUUAAAGAGUCAUGUCAAUAAAUUUUUUGUUUAUGAUAAAAAAAAAUGAAUGUAUGAUUAUGGAUGAUCCAAUAAAUUCAUUAGUUUACUUUUUUAACAGAACAAUUAUAUAUUUUUAGAAAAAUAACACAAGACUCCUUGAAAACAGUAAAUUGUAAUUCUCAGUAGUAACAAAUUAUGGCAGUUUACUGCAGAUGAAAACUUUGGGUCUCUCCUAUCUCUUAGUAGGAGAUUCUACUAUUGUCAUAUUAUAGGACAUUAAAAAGAAUGAGGACCAUGGAAGUUUUGAUAACAGGCAGCUGGUUGCACCAAAUUGUUCAAACUACUUCAGAGUUGGAUAAUUCCUUUGCUAGGUGCUUAGCUGAGCAAGUGGUAGAUGCAUUAGCAUGAAGCAAAACAUUUGCUUCUUUUUUUCUUCUUUUUUAUGUGAGAUUUUUUCCCUCCAUGAUUGUGAUCAGUGUUACUUUAAUUAUUUUUUAUUGUUCAAAUAUAUUUGCUUUUUUGGACUAGCAUACAUCUAGCUUCCUUUUUCUGAUCAAACUUUGUACAAUGGAUUCCAUACUGUAGAAAAAACUUCUCAUCUUUCUUUAUAUUUACUAUUUCAAUGCAAUCAAAUGAUCAAUUCUAAUUAAAUAAGUACUAAACUAGAAGGAUUUUUGUUUCUCUUUUUUUUUUAUUACUUCUCAUCACAAGGAAGACCAUUAUAUCCAUGGUUUCCUUCAACCUACAUGUUACAUUUAUAUAGUUCAUGAUAAGUAAGUUUUUCAUAUACUACUUCUGAUAUUCUUCAAAAACUAAAAAAUUCUCUAGUUGUCACUCUAUUGAACAUGAUUUGCACUUCCAAUUACGCAUCUUCACUUCCUAGAAACUGAAGCAUGGGCUGAACAAAAAUUAAAUCACUUCUUCAUCUUAACACUUAUAGUAAAUAUCUUGCUUUUAGGGAACCUGAGCCUGGAUUGACCCCUUAAACCAACAUUCAAAAUUUUGACAACAGAUUCAAUUUAAAACAACAUAGCUUAACAUGCUUGAAUGCUUCCUCCUUUCAAAUAUAUAUUUCAAAUGUGUAAUAUGAACUUUCAAACAACGUAUGCAGCUUCUAUAUUUCAUGAAAUUUCAAACAAUGUAUGUAUAUUUUGCAAGAUACAAGGUAAGGAUCACACUUGUAUGACAUGAAAUUUCUUCCUCCUGCAACACUUGUAAUCCUCACCUUUUCCCCAAGUAUAGAGUUUGUGAUCAUUUGCAUCAGGAAAUACCAUAGAAGGAUCCAACUCUUCAGUUUUUUCAAGUAAGAUAUUUUUUUGAUAAAUAAGCAAGCAAUAGAUUAAGAAGCGGCAAAAAGUCACAAGGCAUACAGGGAGUAUACACAGUAGCCUAAACCAACAAACACAAGCAACAAACAACCUCACCAACCCUUAAGUGGACGCUAGCCACUCCAAAAAGCCUAAGAGAGACAAGGGCUCCUCACCAAUGUACACCCGAGCCCAACUCCACAGAUUACAAACAAAAGAAUUUUUGAGUUUCUGAAUAGCUAAAGACCCCUCCUCCUAAAAGCUAACCUAUUCCUCUCCUUCCAAACCGUCCAAAAAAUACACAACGGGAUGGAAUUCCAAAUCUUUUUCCUUUUUUUCCCUACAAAAGGGUCCUUCCAACUGAACAACACCUCUUUAACUAUCUCUGGGGACACCCACGGAACCCCAAACAAGGCAAGUAUGAUCUCCCAAAGGACCCUGACCACUAUACAGUGUAAAAAAAUAUGAUUUACAGUUUCUUCUUCACAACCACACAAAAAACAACGAUUGGGGAGCUGCCAUCCCCAUUUUUGAAGCCUAUCCAGGGUGAGAAUCUUCCCCCAAGUGGCCUCUCAAGCAAAAAAAGCAGCUUUGGUUGGAGCCUUAUCCACCCAAAUGUUCUUUUUCGGGAAAGCGAAGUCAUUGGGAGCGACCAACAGAAUAUAAGCGUCCUUAACCCCAAAAAUACCACUUUCCCCACUUUUCCAAAAAACUGAAUCCUCCUUUGAAGAUAUCCUACAAUCCCUCAACAAACUCAGCAACUCCCCUAUCAAAUCUAACUCCCAAUUAUUAUAGUCUCUAGAAAAUCUGAGGUUCCACCCUCUUUGACCAAAGCUAGAGUCCCACACUUCAUUAACCGUUGCAUUCCUAUUGACCGCCAAAGUAUAUAACUAGGGGAAGAUUUGGGACAACGUUGCAUUGCCGCACCAAUGAUCAAUUCAGAACUUAAUUUUAGUCCCUUUACCCACUUUAAACUGGAAAUUAUCCCAACACCAGCAAACCUCCUUCAAAAUCUCCUUCCAAACCCCCACUUCAUACGUCCCACGAACCCCAUUAGGCCUCCACCCAAAACCCUCUUGGCCAUACUUCACCAACAACACCUUCUUCCAAAGAUUAUCCUUUUCAAUAGCAAAUCUCCAAACCCAUUUUCCCAGCAAGGCCUUGUUCAGAAGGAUAAUCUUCCUUAAGCCUAAACCACCCUUCUCCUUUUGAGCGCACACCACCUCCCAAUUGAUUAAGUGGACUUUCCUUUCCAAGUUUCCCCUUCCCCAAAAGAAGUCUCUUUGUAAUUUUUCCAGCCUUUUUGCUACAAUCUUGGGCAUUUGAAAAAGGGACAAUUGGUAAAUCGGCAUGCUGGCCAGCGUGCUCUUAAUAAGGGUGAUUCUCCCACCUUUGGAAAGAUAUUAGAAAAUAAAAAUAUAGAAGCUGCUUAUGUAUGUAUAAUUUUAUAUUUUUCUACUAAAUAUAUAACAGCAAAGAACACUUAAGAAAAAGAUAUUACAAAGUGACAUUUGCUCCAAAUGGGUAGAAGUACAGAAAAAUGAGAGAUCUUCAACUGUGAGAAUCAUCUUUCCUGUCAGAAUCAAGUUAAAUAAGCUGAAGAAGAUUACCUUUAUCCGGACUAGUGGAAGCUUGAGCUCUGAUCCAUUAACAAACUUUCCACUAGCUUUGUCAAUCAGGUUUCUGACCUAAAGAAAUUUCAACUUAUAAGAAAACAGUUGUUAUAAAGAAAGUAGCGUUCUGACCAAGAAUAUCACUUGCACAAGAAAAUAAAAGAAUUAAUAAAUUUGAGGGGUUGAAUAUUCCUUUGACAUUGUGAGAAAGAAAACACCUCACCACUUUGUCUAGAUGUUCAAGAAUUGAAGUUUGAUCAUUUGGAUCAAUGUCAGCUUCAUCCUUUAGCACAAUCUGCAUCACAAACAUCAAGUGAGUCAACAGAAAUAUUUUUAAAGAUGAAACAAAAUGACAAUGGCUUACCUCAGUGUAUUCAAAAGGCCUCACUGACUUCAAUGGGAUCUUGGUUGGGCGGUAUUGAUUUCCCUAUAUAAAUCAUACUUGAAUCACACACAAUAUGGGAAUUAAAAGGAUCAACCAAAACUGUAUGUCAAAACAUGAAUGAUUUAUGCAGGAAUUUGCUGAAAAACAACCUUAAUUUCUAAAAGUAGUACAUGCUUCGGCUUUGACUCUCCAUCAAUCAGUGAUGUUGCAAUGGAAGAGCCUGGUUGGGUAAUGUGGAAACCCAUACCUGCAACCUCCUGUUCAAAGCAAAACGACCUCCAAUGAGAUACUGUAGCAAAAGUAAAGUCAUGAGUUAUAGAAAAAAACAAAUAAAUAUUUGGUGCCACCUGAGGAUCAACAAGACAUUCAUGUUCAUGCCCCCACACUAUGAAGUCUAGGAACCUUGGUAAAAAAUGCUCACUGAUUGCAUUUUUAGGAUUUGUCUUUACUCUGCAGACCAUGAAAGAAGUUAAGUUUGAUUAUCGCAUACCUUUUUUUUUUUUGAUUGAAAACGACACAAAGAUAUAUUGAUAGAAAAAGAAGUACAAGAAGAAGGAUGAGAAAUCCUCCUGCCAAAGACAACUAAAUUACAGGAAAAUACACAGAAAACAAACAAUCUCCCUAUAAGGACCAAUCCUUAUGGAGUACACACCGCUAUCCAAUCAAGUUGAAUCACAUUAAGGGGAGUCUCCUUAAAUGCCUUGGAACAGAAAGCCCAAAGAGAAGCAAGGAAAACAAUAAAGUCCCAAAGAAAUUCUGAAUUCCUUGCUUUAUGUAAAUGCCCAAUAGCUAGAGACUUUGAUAAUGUCACAAUAAUUCAAGAUCUUUUCUCUUUGAGCAUGAUCUAAUAGAAUCUCAGAGAAAAAAGUACAACCUGUUUUGAUGAAGUACCAAAAUGUUGAACCAGUCUGACACUUGACACCCUUCUUGAGCUUCGGGCUGCAUCCAUUGCACAGCAUGUGGUGUCUAAGAUUAAAAAGACAAACCCAACAAACAUGUGAGUACCAUGGUGUCAAAGGUUGACCACUGAAAUGCAACUGUUCCAACAUAAAUUACCUGAAACAUCCUAUUGAGGCGUUCAUCUCGAAUAUUCCCAAGACCAUAGAGAGCCACAAGCGUUGAACCCUGCCAAAAAGAAAUAUAAGUCAUACUAUAAAGAAAUUAAUAACUAGCCCAAACCUUCUAAGAAUAAAGUAUUGUGACACACCUUCCUAAUAAGAAUAGGGUAGAGAGUGAUUUGACCAACACCAGAACCUCCAAGAACCAUUUUCCCAAAAUAGUUCACCAGAUUGCAUGCCGAAAGAAUAUCAACAGCAGAAAGGUUGUCCUGUCACCACAGUAAGGACCAAAACACUAAUGGUACUAACACAUCCCAAAAAACCAGUCUUAAGAAAACUGGAGGAUAUAUAUAUAUUAGGUAAAAACAGGAAAGUAUAUAUAAAAAGAAAAUUGGUGAAUAUCCAUUACAUCUAAGAACUAAUAACAAACACACAAACAAAAGAAAAAAAAUAAUAAAACAAGAAGGUUCAACUGCUUCAGUCAAGAAAUCUAGCAGGUAUUGAUAUUUGUCAUAGGUGCUGCCAGUGCAAAAAAAGCAACUUAAACUGUCAGUCCAAGGCGGGAACAGGGAAUUGUGCCCAGUUGCUUCUGAUGGAAAAAUGAAGGGUUCUUAAACCAGCAAUCAAGGAAGUAGAGAAUUCCAUUCAUUUACAGGACAUGAUCAUCAGUAGCCAUAUAUCAACUUUAUGAUUCAUUCAGGACAACCAGGGUGUGAUCUUGAAAGAACCACCUGAAUACACUAGAUCUCAUCUUAGAAAGCAAAGUAUACAACAGAGAAAACAGCAAUGGGAACCUCUACUAUGGAGCUCCUACCACUCACAAAGCGUUACAAUAUUGCAUAACACUUCCAAUAUUUGGCAAACUAAAUAUUCUUGACUUUAAUCAACUAAAAAAAGAAAAAGGAAAAGAAAAAUCUUUAUGCUCCAUUUGGAUCAUGGAAAGCAUUAGGGAAAGGAAAAGGCAUAGGAAGGAAUCCCAAAUCCUCUUGCUUGAUUUACCAUGGGAUGUUUGAAAGGAAAAUGAAAUAUAAUGAAAAUUAUUUUAAAAUGUAUGCAUUUUAAAAUACUUUAUUAUUUAUUAGAGGAGAAAAAGAAAAAAAAUCGAUUUGGUGAAGCAUAUGCACAUUUUAUUGAAUCUAAACCUAUUUCCUAUAUUUCCUUACUUUUCCUUUCCUUCCAUUUUCCCUCCAUUUUCUUUCCCUCAAGCUUGCCAAGCUCUAAAUGGAGCCUAAGAAAAAAAAAAAAUCUAUUUUCAUCACUGGAAUUGCCUCACAUAUAGACUAUUUUUUGAUAAGUAAGAAAAGUAUUGUAUUAUGGGGAGGCGCUAAAAUAGCGACUCAAAAUGUAUAGAACAGAAAGGGAAAUACUCACCCCCUAACAAUUGAAACAAAAAACUGUCCACAAUGAUAUACAAAAAAUAAAAAUAAAAACAACCCCUCCCUUAAUAGGAACCCACCCAAUCAAUAAACUCCAAAAAGGUUAAUGGACCAUCUUUUAUAAACAGUUUAGUCUCCGAACAAAGUGAGUUAAGAAAAUAAGUUUUCAGCCUUUGGAUGGACAACACCUCAUCUUCAAAGGCAAUUCUAUUCCUUAUCUUCCAAACUGUCCAAAAAAUGCAAAGAGGACUCACUUUCCAAACUAUCUUACACCUUUUUUCCACAAAGAAUCUAUUCCAACCCAAUAGGGUUUCCCUAACCGAAGACGGAAACACCUGAUAGGGUUUCACAUAUAGACUAUAAUACUAUCAGACUCAAUAUGUUGCUAAACAAUAACAGUUAAAUCCUACUCCAUAAUUAUUCCUUUUAUUUUAAGUAAUGCUUUAUUGCACUCUGCCAAAGAACAAUCACCGAUUAAGCCAUAAGUGAUCCUCUUGAAAGUGAAAAACCCCUAAAAAGGACAAAGCUAAAUAGAAAAAAAUAUCAGCAAUACAACGCCCAUUUUUAAGAAAUGAAGUAGCAUCAUAAUCAUGGUCCAAUCCAUGGCAGAGCAAAUUCUAUAUUUGGGUGUGCUUAUGACGUCUAGAGAGAUCACACUACACCUCAAUUUGACAUUCAUUAUCUUCUAAAUGCAUCACAUGACAGAAUACUAAAAUAGAAAGUUGAAAUCCAAAAAAAAAAUUCAGAGGAACCAUGACAGACUUAACAACUCAUGGUCAAAAUAUACAAAGAGAAACAAAAUUUACAGCAGUUUACCAUAUGAACCAUACCACUCCAGCAGGAUCAUCAUGAUUUCCAUGAAUACUAAAAACUGGCAAGCCGACAUUGAAGUGAGGAUCUUCAUAAUUCACAUGACCAAAUCUGUCCAGAGUGACAUGACAUUAUGAAUUGAAGACAGCUAUAGAUAUACACAGCAAGAACAGGAAACAGCUUUUGUGAAUUUUUUUUUUUCUUGCAUACAAGUGUAAGGUCUAAAAAAUAAAAGAUGAAUAAAAAUUAUUUUAAGGAAAUAGAAAUACGUUAGCAUAUAGUUAAUCUAGAAUGAAAUGAUUAAAAAAAUGGUUUCAUACUUAAACAACUUAUUUCCUUAAAGUGUCAAAUAUGACCAUUGUGUGAAUAGUUGGAAUGUUGUCAUAGGAUAGCAUGGUUUUGCAAUAAAGAUUCAAGAAACAUGACUUGGUCAGGAAAAACUAAGUUUUUCUUGAAGUCAUGACAUGAACACUGCUUGGGAUAAAGGGAUCAAAACAAACAAAGAAACAGAAAUAUUGUUGAAGUAUCCAUUUUAAUCAAAUAAAGUGAAAAGUAUGAAUGCUUUCAUUAGCAUAAUGUUUAUCAAGAGCAUAAUGUGUCAAUACAUGUUUGCGAAGUUCACAGUCUGAUCACUGACAACUUCAAACUGCACCGGACGAUCAUUGAGGGUAUAACGACGGAGGAUCUCAAUGGUCUUAACCAAUGUUGACCUUGAGGGCUUAUUCUCAUGGAAAAGAUCACCACCAAGGAGUAAGAAGUCCACCUGAUUCCAUAUAGAAGUUAGUAGUAACAUUUGAUAUGUAUAAUAUUUGGAUAUUUGAUAAGUCUUCUAAUGAUUUGAAAAUUUAAAAUUAACUAAGAGAAUGAAAGAGAAAUAAUUUCCAUAACCUUGGGCCUCCACCUUCGUAUGUUCAUCUUUGAAUUUGGACACAAUGGUAAAAGGAAUUUAUUAUUGAUUGAAAAAUUGAAACAAAGUUAUAAAUAUGCAACAGAAAUCAUUCAGUGAAGUAAGAAAGAGAAUAACAGAAUGAAGUCAAUAGAGAUACAGGGGUAAAAAGGAGAAACAGUAGCAGAAGUGAACUCUUCCACUUAAAACCACAGCCAGCAGCUACUGGAGAAAUUGGGAUCAGUGGGCAUAAAAUAUACAAAAAGGGGCAGCAAAAUUUCAUCUUUGCAUUAAAAGCAUACAAGCCAGAAUAUCUAUGCCAGUAAUUGGUAAACGGCAAUGCAUAUAAAAGAUACUAUAAAUAAGGUAAACAAAGUAUAAAAUUUUGAUUAUUACCUGCUUUUGAUCUGCUAUUGAGCAUAUUUCCUCAAAUGCCUGGAAAGAAUCAUGCCUACGUACUUCAUCCUUCUCCAUAUAGCCUAGAUGGCAAUCCGUAGCAACAAGCACUCUAAGAGUAUUGCUGGCAUCCUCCCUGAGAAAAAAAAAAUGAAAGAAACUCUUUUAGAUAGCCGCCCAAAUCGAAAAUGUACAUUUUUUUUCAUGAGUAAGAAGAUAGUCCAACGCUCAAGAAAGGAGAAAAUUGGCAUUGCACAAAAUAAUAUUCAAAAAAGUUGCAAUCUCACUGCUAGAGGUACCCGUUUAUCAUACAUAACAUUGUAAAAUUUCAGCAUUACAUUCACUAUAUUAGCCAUCAUAAACUAUGGCUUCAAGUGGUUUACCUCGAAGAAUCACCCAUGCCAGCAAAAGUCUCACCGCUUCAAACCCUACAACAACAAUGUAUAGUUUCAUCAAACAAAUAAAAAUCUACUUAUAUAUGCAGCUGGGAGUCAACUCAGGAACUAUUUCUUGAGUUCUCAAUCUUGAAGUCCUGUUUUCAAUAACGCAAAAUUCACAAUAAAACAUUUUACAUGACGUUAAUGCUAAAAAUGGCAGAAAUGCAAUCAAAAUCGAACUAAAAACCAUACGAAUAAAAGUUACAAAAACCCCGAGAAAGUUCCAAUUUAAACCACAAAAGAAAAAUGGAAUUCAAGUGGAGAAAGAAACUAACCGAAGAAACAUGAAACCCUAAAACAGUGAUACGUCCAUAAAUGAAUCAAGUAACCAGAGGAGAACGCACAAGAUUAAUGGAAGCGUAAUAGAAGGAAAGGUCUGUUUGGUUGCAGAGAAAGCAUAAGAAAAGAAGCACAAGUUUAAAAUUUUUUGACAAAACCUAUUCAAUACCCAACCUGUUACAACAGUCCAAUUUUAUAUCUUUUCUUGCGAUUUCUCAGAAACCAAACAAACAGUGAUGGAUAAAAACAAAGAAUUAACAGAAAAAGAAUAAAUAACUUAAAAACUAUUACCAAUACUGAGACUGAAUGAGUGAAGAGUAGAGAGACGAAUAAGGGAGUGGUGGCGGGGAAUUUGAAAGAGGAAUAUGAAGAAAAUGUGUCCUUCACUGCACUGACAAAUAGGUCCUUUUUGUUAGACAAAAACGGAGAAACCUAAACGGCGUCGUUCUGGAAUCGGGGAAACGUAGGAGGGAAGCUGGUGUUCUUUUAAUGGAGAAAGCGGAAAAACGGAGCCAAAACGGUGUCGCUUCAAUUAGUAGUGUGGCACAAAAACUUUAAACUUGAGAAUUGCUUUUUUAGGUUUCCGUGGGUGAGAGGGCCCAACUUGCACGGGCGACCCAAUCCAACCCGAACCCAACCCGAUGUUUAGACAGGUUUGAGCAAUUAUUUUUAAAAUUCAGGUUGGACUUGACUCAAGGUACAAGACAACUUGAGUAUAAUUUUAUAGUAUUUAUAAUGCAUCUUAUCUUCUAUAAUAAUAUUUAUUUUUUAAAAUAUAAAAUUAUAUUAUAUUAUAUGUUUUUCAUUAUUUUUAAAAAAUAUAUAAAUUUAUAUUUAUUCUUUUAUUACUAUUUUGAAAUUUUAUCAUAUUUGUUAUUUAAAUUUUCAUAUAAACAUAUUAAAAUAAUAUUAUAGAUAGAUUUUGAAUUAUGUAACCCGAUCAAUCUGAAUCUAAUUUGAACAACUCAAACUCAACCCAAGUUUAAAAAAAUGAGAUUAGGUUGAGUUUGAGUUGAGCACCUUAAAUUAGAGUUCGGAUUGAGUUAAGUUUUAGUUUAUUAUUUAUUAAUUUCGAAGACUCUCACAUUCACAUCCAAUAAUUUAAAUGCAUCAAAUAUAAAUAAAAAUAAAUAAACUAUAUAUGAACCAAGGAUAACUAGAUAACAAACAAAUUUAAAAAGUAAAUAAUAAUUAAUUAUUACAUAUAAAAUAAGAGUGUGUUAGGUAGAUUUUACAAAACGUUUCUAGUUUUUCUAACAUUCGAAUGAUAAAAUUUUUCAAGUGUUAAAAAUAUUAAAAGUAUUUUCUAAAAUUACUAUCAAACAAAUUCUAAGUAUCCUAAAAAAAUAUAAAUGAAAUGUUUAAAGACGCCCUCAAAUCUAUCACAACACUCAUCUAAUUCUUCUUUUAUUUUUCAAAUAAAAAUGAUUUUGAAAGCACAAAAAUAUGUUAGUUUUUUUUUUCAUCUUAUUCACAAUCACCAACAUGUAAUUCUAUAAUUUGCUAAGUAUAAACAUUGCCAAACCCUUUUUUCCAUCAAACUUUUAAAUAUAAAAUAUUUAAGAUUAUGUUUGGUUUUUGAGAGAAAAUAUAAGGGAAAUAAAAUAUAUAAAUAAAAAUAAUAAUAAAAUAAAAUGUUGAUGUAAAGUUAAUAAAUUAUUUUUAUAUGUUAUUUCAAACUCGUUUAAUUUUAUUGGACCGGAAUUAGUUACCAUUCAUCAAAAUAAAUAAAAUAUUAAAAAAUACAUCAAUGUCAAUAUUAGAUAAUGAUAAGGGAGAAUCAAAUUCUCCAUGAUACGUGCUGCAUUCCUUUUCUGUUAGCAUAAUAUCCUCUUGUAUAGCUGUAGGGAUAUACUCAAUAUUUGUAUUUGAUUCUUUCCUAUUAUGUAGGAGUUUACAACUGUAAUUACCGUGUAUAUAAUGAAGAGUUAUCUCCUCAUCCGAUAAGGAGGAUUUCAGUCAUUUACCGUGUUUAUCAAACACCUUUAUGGUAUCAGAGCGUGGUUUCUUUCGAUUCUGACCAUGGCUGUUUCGUCUUCUUCACCUCCUAGUCUUCCGCUCAAUACAAUGGUGCAUAUGCUCACCAUUAAAUUGACCUCCUCCAAUUAUCUAUUGUGGAGAAAUCAGUUCGUUCCUCUGUUAGCUAGUCAAGAGCUUUUUGGUUAUUUGGACGGUAGCAUCACGGCUCCUUCUCCCAUGAUUACUGCCUCUGAUGGCACCCCAAAAUCCAAUCCUGCAUAUACCUCUUGGCUGCAUACCGAUCAGACACUGCUCAGUUUACUCUAUUCUUCUCUCACAGAGGAAUCUAUGAGUGAGGUACUGGGUUUCCGUCACUCCCACGAGGCCUGGCAUGCGCUUGAAGUCUCAUUUUCGCACCGAUCAAAGACUCGCGAACUGCAACUCAAGGAUGAACUCCAGCUGAUGCACCGUGGCUCUCAGUCCAUUGCUGAGUUUUCUCACACCUUCAAAGGCCUUUGCGAUCAACUGGCUGCUAUUGGACGUCCCAUUGACGUCACGGAUAAAGUCCACUGGUACCUACGCGCAUUGGGACUCGACUACAAGAUCUUUUCUACCACCAUGAUGUCACAACUUCCUCUACCAUCCUUUGCUGAAAUUGUUCCGAAAGCUUUGAGCCAUGAAAUCUUUGAAUGGUCAGUCUCCCAUUCAUAUUCCAACUCUGCUUAUUUUGUGCAGCAAACUUCCAAAGUGGCUGGUCACAAGCAAGUGAAGCAUCGGUCUUCAGCUUCUCCUACACCGUUUGCCAACUCAAAGUCAUCAUCCAACUCCUCCGUCCGCUGUCAGUUGUGCGACAAAAAGGGACACUUGGCUAAACGUUGCUGGAAUUUCCUGAAACUCAAGAAGAAGCAAUCGGCUAACCUUGCUGAGGCUUUUUCUGCCUGCUCGAUUCAGGAUUUUAAUGACUCUGAAUGGUUCCCUGACUCUGGUGCAACGUCCCACAUGACUAGUGACACCGAAGGUGUGGAUCAACCGGCUGUCUAUUCUGGUAAUGAACGUGUCAUGGUUGGCAAUGGUCAGUCCUUAGCAAUCUCUCACACUGGUUCCAUUUCAUCUCUUGUUCCGUCUAGUCCUCUUCUUUUAUCUAAUGUCUUAGUUGUUCCUGGAAUUAAGAAAAAUCUUAUUUCUAUUAGUCAACUUACUAAAGACAAUAAUUGUUGUGUUACCUUUUCUUCCUCUGGUUUUACCAUACAGGAUCGGGUCACAAGAGUGGUACUGGGAGUCGGAAGAUGUGAAAAUGGUCUCUACGUGUUGGAUCGUCGUCAUCAUGCCUUAGUGUCCACUACUUUUUCACCGCGAGCAUCUGUUCGUUUAUGGCAUACUCGCCUUGGUCAUCCACAUUAUCGUACUAUUGCUUCUCUUUCUAAAUUAGGAUCUAUUUCUUGUAGUAAUAAAUUGGUGAACAAUAAUUCUGAAAUUUGUGUUGGUUGUAGACUCGGAAAAAGCCACCGUUUACCUUUUUCUCUAAAUAAUGAACGUUGUGUUAUGCCUUUUGAUCGUUUACAUUGUGACCUAUGGGGUCCGUUACUAGUUUCUUCCUUUAAUGGAUAUAGAUACUAUGCGGUUUUCAUUGAUGAUUGUACUAGAUUUAGUUGGAUAUUUCCUUUAAAACACAAAUCUGAUUUCUUUGAUAAUUUCAUCAAUUUACAACGUUUUAUUGAGACACAGUUUUCCGCCAAAAUCAAAUCAUUUCAGUGUGAUGGUGGAACUGAGUUUACUAAUAAUAAGUUUCGCUCUCAUUUGCAUUCGUGUGGCAUUGAUCUCCGUCUGGCAUGUCCUUACACUCCUAGUCAAAAUGGAAUUGCCGAACGUAAGCAUCGUCAUGUCACAGAAACAGGUCUUACUCUUAUGUUUCAUGCUCGUGUGCCGCUCUCCUUAUGGGUUGAGGCCUUCUCUACUGCCGUCUUUCUCAUUAACCGACUCCCGUCACCAUCUCUUGCUGGCAAAACACCUUAUGAGCUCCUGUUUGGUAAGCAACCCGAUUAUUCUAUGCUUCGUACCUUUGGGUGUCUUUGCUUCCCUUAUUUGAAAGAUUACUCACCUCAUAAAUUGUCUCCAAAAUCUACUCCUUGUGUCUUUUUAGGUUACAGUACCCUUCAUAAAGGAUUUCGGUGCUUAGAUCGUAAGACACAUCGUGUCUAUGUUUCUCGACAUGUGCAGUUUUAUGAACAUACUUUUCCCUAUAAUGGUGAUUUUGUGCAAAAUCUGCCAUCUAACAUUGACUAUAUUCAUUUUUCUGAGUUUCAGGAAUGUGUUUCUAGUUCUUCUAACAUUAGUACUUCAGAUUCUUUGCCUUCACCAUCUUUCUCGAAUUCACUGUGUCUGCCUUGCAAUGAUAUUCCACACUUGUCUUCGACUUCUUCUCCUGGUCCGCAAGUUCCUCUUGAUGAGGACUCUCUCUUGGAUUCUGUUGCUACAGAUUCGACCACUCCUUCACCAGUCUCGUCCUCUCCUCGUGUGACCACUUCCAGCCAUCCGAUGAUUACUAGAGGAAAAACUGGUAUAUUCAAACCACGGUUGUAUCAUGUUAUGCAUAUCUCAUCUUCUUCUCAGUUGUUUCAGGCUCUUCUUGCUCUCAAAGAGCCACGAGGCUUCAAGUCUGCUGCAAAACACCCUGAAUGGCUCUCGGCUAUGGAUGAUGAAAUUCACGCACUGAAGAAAAAUGAUACGUGGGUUCUUGUACCUCGUCCUCAGCAUCAUAAUGUGGUUGGCUGUCGCUGGAUUUUCAAAACAAAGCUUCACUCUGAUGGGUCUAUUGAGCGUCAUAAGGCACGUCUUGUGGCUCAAGGAUUUUCUCAAGUUCAUGGUCUUGAUUUUGGUGACACCUUUAGCCCUGUGGUGCGUCCUGCUACAGUCAGAAUCAUUCUAUCAUUGGCUGUUACUUCUGGAUGGCGUUUACAUCAGCUAGAUGUUAAAAAUGCAUUUCUUCAUGGCUUUCUCAACGAAGAGGUGUACAUGGAACAACCGCCUGGCUACACUGAUCCACAGUUUCCUCAGCAUGUUUGUCGUCUAAAACGUGCUCUUUAUGGCUUGAAACAAGCUCCUCGAGCUUGGUUUCAUCGAUUUAGCUCAUUUUUGCUGAAACUUGGUUUUCACUCUAGUCAGGCUGAUUCUUCGUUGUUUGUUUAUCACUCCUCGCUUGGUACUGUUUACUUACUUCUUUAUGUUGAUGACAUGAUCAUCACUGGAAGUACUCCUUCUCUGGUUCACACCUUUAUUACUCGGCUUUCCAACGAAUUCUCCAUGAAGGACUUGGGUGAUCUUCAUUAUUUUCUCGGAGUUGAAGUUCAAGCUAAUGAGAAGGGUCUAUUUCUCAGUCAAACGAAGUAUGCUCUUGAUCUCUUGCAACGUGCUUCAAUGAUUGAUGCCAAGCCUAUUUCUACACCUUUUGUUGUUGGACAGCAUCUAUCCGCCGAAGGGACUCUAUUCUCCGACCCUACUCUGUUUCGUUCUCUUGCCGGUGCUUUUCAAUACCUCACGAUCACCAGGCCUGAUUUGUCCUUCAGUGUCAACUCCAUUUGCCAAUUCAUGCAUGCUCCCACCGAGGAUCAUUUUCGUGCUCUCAAGCGUAUCUUGCGCUAUGUUAAAGGCACUGCUCAUCAUGGUCUCCAACUUCACAAACAGUCCACUCGUGAUCUUCUUAGCUACUCUGAUGCGGAUUGGGCUGGAUGUCCUGAUACACAUCGCUCUACUACCGGCUAUGCUAUCUUUUUUGGAGCUAAUUUAAUCUCUUGGUCUUCUAAGAAACAAAGCACUGUCUCUCGUUCAAGUGCAGAAGCCGAGUAUCGCUCCUUAGCUGUUGCUACUGCUGAUAUUGCAUGGAUUAUUCAGUUGCUUCGGGACCUUCAUGUUACACUCUCAAUGCCACCUAAAAUUCUUUGUGACAAUCAAAGUACAAUUUUUAUGGCAGUCAAUCCGAUUACUCGUCCUCGAUCCAAACAUAUUGCAAUCGACUACCAUUUUGUUUGUGAACUUGUUGAUAAAGGCACUUUGAAAAUUGAUUUUGUUCCUUCCCAUCUACAGCUUGCUGAUUCACUGACCAAAGGAGUUACCAAGCCACAGUUCUAUAUCUUUUGAAGCAAGCUCAGCGUUCUCCCUUCUACCACGCUCACCUUGCAGGGGGGUGAUAAGGGAGAAUCAAAUUCUCCAUGAUACGUGCUGCAUUCCUUUUCUGUUAGCAUAAUAUCCUCUUGUAUAGCUGUAGGGAUAUGCUCAAUAUUUGUAUUUGAUUCUUUCCUAUUAUGUAGGAGUUUACAACUGUAAUUACCGUGUAUAUAAUGAAGAGUUAUCUCCUCAUCCGGUAAGGAGGAUUUCAGUCAUUUACCGUGUUUAUCAAACACCUUUAGAUAAUAUUCAAAGUGUAGAAUUAUUAGGGAGGAAUGUAGACACUUCAAAUGGAGAAAAUUUGCAAAUAAAACAAUAGAUAAAUAACUUUUGUGGGUUGGAUCUAGUGCCGAUAUUUUAGAAUUUUAUAUUUAUAUAUAAAAGGACAAAAACAAUAUUAUAAAGGUUUUUUCAAUUAAAAUUGAAAAAGCUUUCCAAAUAAACUUAAAGUAGUCAAGCCGAUGAGGAAACAAAACCCAAACAGAUUAAAGGUAGAUUUAAAAUAUAUAUUUUUAAAUUUAAGACCGAUUUAAGUAUUAUCUUAUCUCACCUGCCUCACCUCAAUUAUAUAUAUAUAUAAUAACAUCUUAAUUAUUUAUAAAAUAUAUAUUUAAUGUAAUUAAAAAUUUUUGAAAAAAAAGUUUUGCAAAAAAAAUAAAAAAUAAAAAAUAAACAAGAGGUAGAAGAAUAAUGAGAAAUUUGUACACAUGUCCUACCACACCCUGUUGAGAUAAGAAUUAUUUUGAAUAUUGACAAAUUGGGAUGGGGACGAUAUGUCUUCAAUUCAUCAAUUGUCAUCCUUAUUUGUGAAAAGCAAAUUGAAAAAUCAUAAACCAUUUAAUUAAAUCUACAUAAAACACGUCUACAUUUUCUCAACAACUAUCAUGAUUUCAAUCCAAUUCCAUUAAAUCAUUCCACUUUGAUUUCAAAAUAUGCCUUUGUCUUCUCUUAAUUUGAUUGCAACCCUAAUACUCUAACUUGUCCUUUAAUUCAUUUGCUCUUGAAUUGACAUAUACACCAUUAAUAAAAUUUACCCCACCCCUCGAAUAAACACCUCAUCUCAUACCUUAGAAAGAAGUUUUGAUUCUGUCGAUAUUUGAAGGAUUUAGUUUUUAAUACUAUAUACGAAGUAAAAUCUUCUUAAUCAUACAGACAUGGUUUAAAUUCUAUCUGACUUUAUUUACCUUUUUCGCUGACCAGAAAGUCAAUAAUUUGUAAUGGGGAUCAUGUCCAAACUUGAUUUGCCUAAUUGGAUGUACAGCUAGCAUAUACAUCACAUCCAAGUGAUGAUUACACCACCUGUUAGUUCUUAAUUAAUCAUGAUCCUUGGGACCUUGUUCUAUUGUCUCGUCUGUGAGAAUUAAGAAAAGCAUUUUCCACAUUUUUAAAUGGAAGCUCAAGUUCAACCAAAGGGGGAUGGCCUUGAAUCAUAGCUAGUUGUAUUUUUGUUUGACGAGAGGGGAAAAUCAUUUGACUGGUGAGGUAGAUUGAUCACACUAUGGGAAAACCCCAUCCUCAGGAAACAAAAAAAGUUAAUUUCUUCUCCACUGAAUGGAAAGAGUAAAAUGAUGGCAAAUUUACUAAUCCUUUCUGGGUUUUGUUUUAUUCCUCAGGGUGUUUGGAUUAUGCUGACAGCUUUCCUUGGAAGGACCGUUUGGAUAGUAGGAAAGCAAGUGAGAGCAAACACAGCUUUUUCUGAGUUGAAUGUGGUCGAACACUGCACACUGGAAUGAUGGCCGUUCCAUUCUUCUUCUCAUGCUGAGAAUUCUUGUGAUUGGCCUAAUAGCGAUACGAAUAAGCCAAACCCCUCGUAACCAAACUGCCCACAAAGUAGAAUGAAAAAAGGAAAAAAGGGAUUCUAGAUAGCCAAACAGGAUUGCACACCCAACCCCAACUAAUCAGAACUAGCCUUAUGGGAUUUAAUAGCAUGCCAUCCACUCUCGGCCAUUUCAGCUGGUUGUGAUGAAAGCAGAGCCUAAAGGCCACCAAGCUCGAACCCCGGUCUAGUAAUUGCCACUUUUUUUUUUUAAAAUAAAAAUAAAAAUAAAAAUGAAACUCUAAAUAGUAAAAUACUUGAAAAUAUAAUAAAAACAAAUUCAUCAUUUACUAAAUAAAAGAUUAUUUAUCUGAGCACUAUCCAUUAAACCCUUGCAAGUUGAUCGGAUAGAUAGUUCGAACCUCAACAUUCUUUAUAGAGUGUAAUAAAACUGAUUUAAGUUUUACAAUUCAACGUAAUUCGGACCGUGUUGAUCAUCGAUCACUUUCUUUUGUUGAAAUCUCUGCCGGGCCCAAAAACAUGUAGCAGUACUCUAGUCUGUCCUGCUUGCCAAAAGGUACAUCAAAUAAUAUACUCCAUGAUGAAAUGAAGAGGCGCCCCAUGACCAAUCACACACUCUUAUUCGUCGUGGGACUGUCACGAGUAUAUUAGGAUGUGCCGAGACACACUGGUGGGGGCUAAUGCCUGAACCGCCCGAGCUAGCAUGGACCACAGCUGCGUGAUGAUUAGAGAGGGCAACAUCAUGACAACGACGAUUGUUGUAUCACUGCAUCAAUACUGCAGUAUUUCCAGAAUAUUCCAGUAGGAUUGUAUACAAAUUUGCAGCUGGUUCCUGAAAGGCUGAGCUUUUUGCCCUGAUAAUGUAGUUUAAUUUAAUUUAAUCUCAUAACACAAGUUUCUUUGGAUUUAUUCUCUACCUCCUAGCAUAUGAGUUGGACUGCCUUGCCUAUUCCCUACUCCCUACAAGGUUUGAGAUCGGGGAUGGGUUUUGAUUUGAUUUAGACAUCUAAUGAUACGGAAGUUAGAAAAAUAUUGC